AUACGGAGGAUCCGAGCGUUAUCCGGAUUUAUUGGGUUUAAAGGGUGCGCAGGCGGCCAUUUAAGUCAGCGGUUAAAUCGUGGGGCUCAACCCCAUUCUGCCGUUGAUACUGGGUGGCUUGAUUGCGGUCGAGGUUGGCGGAAUUCGUUGUGUAGCGGUGAAAUGCAUAGAUAUGACGAAGAACACCGAUUGCGUAGGCAGCUGACCAGACCGCAAAUGACGCUCAUGCACGAAAGUGCGGGGAUCGAAGAGGAUUAGAUACCCUGGUAGUCCGCACGGUAAACGAUGAAUACUUGUUUUCGGCGAUAUAAUGUCGGAGGCAAAGCGAAAGCGAUAAGUAUUCCACCUGGGGAGUACGCCGGCAACGGUGAAACUCAAAUGAAUUGGCGGGG
rnacentral:rRNA from 1 species